UCAUUGAAAUCAAUCGUUCAAAUUGUAUCUAUGCAACCAUUAUAUAGGUAUACAGAAUACAUAAUUUUUUAAUCAAUACAUUUUAUACAAUACGCUUAAUGAUAAUAGAAUAAUAUGCGUUCAAAAUUAAGUUUUAAAUAUAAAUUAAUACAAUGAUAAUAAUAUUACAUUAUAAUAAAAAAAAAAAANUCGCCAAAAUAAUGCAAUCGAACGUAAUCGUCGCACGAAAGCGUACCGUCUUUAUUGCAAUCCU